rnacentral:ncRNA from 1 species
UUGGUUGAUCCUGCAAGUAGUCAUAUUCUUUUCUCGAAGAUUACGCCAUGCAUGUCUACGUACAUGCCAUAUUAAGGCGAAACCGCGAAUGGCUGAUUAAAUCAGUUAUGAUUCCUUGGAUCGUACCUUACUACUUGAAUAACUGCGGCAAUUCUAGAGCUAAUACAUGCAGCAGAGCUCCGAUACUCUGGGCCGAGCACUUUUAUUAGACAAAAACCAAUCGGAGCUGGUGUCAGUAUUAUAUGUUGACUCUAUAAUUUUGGGCUGAUCGCAGAGGCUCGUCUUUCAAGUGUCUGCCUUGAUCUGUCGAUGGUAGGUUACGCGCCUACAAUGGUCAUAACGGGUGACGUGGAAUAAGUGUCCGAUUCCGGAGAGGGAGCCUGAGAAACGGCUACCACAUCCAAGGAAGGCAGCAGGAGUGCAAAUUACCCACUCCCAGGACGGGGAGGAAGUGACGAAAAAUAACAGUACAGGACUCUGAAACCGGUAAUUGGAAUGAGUACACUCUAAAGCCUUUAACGAGGAUAAGUUGGAGGGCAAGUCUGCUGACAGGUGAGAACAGCUGCGGUAAUUCCAGCUCUUAAUAGCGUAUAUUAAAGUUGUUGGGGUUAAAAAGCUCGUAGUUAGAUCUCAGUUCCAGACGGGUGUUCCGCCUACCGGUGUUACUCCCUGGUCUGAACAGCCAGCCGGUUUCCUUUCAUGAUCUUCAUUUUUUGUCUUGAGUUACUGGCAAGUUUACUUUGAAAACAUUAGAGUGUUCAAAGCAGGCUGACGUCUGAAUAAUGGUUCAUGGAAUAAUGGAAUAGGACCUCGGUUCUAUUUUUUUGGUUUCCGGAAUACGAGGUGGUGAUUAAGAAGGACAGAAGGUGGCAUUCGUCAGACAAGUGAGCAUAGGCAACAACAACAGCAUUUAUAAGAGAUUUUUC